GUGUCAAUUAAAAAGCAAGUAAAAUAAAAUUGGAACGAUACAGAGAUUAGCAUGGCUUCUGUGUGAGGAUGACAUGCCAAUUUGUGCUGUGUUCCAUAUUUUU